rnacentral:lncRNA from 1 species
AAUCCAUCAAGAUAUUGAGAAUGUUGCAAUCUUAUAUAAAGCUUUACUUAUUGUAGAAAUUCUCAAAACUUUGAUCAUGUAUAAUUAUUAUUACCUCCCUUACACUCAUAGUAAUAAGAUUUCUUAGAUUAAGUUGUAAAUUUAAUCUACUUGCUUCUGUCAAUUAUAAAACUUUUUAGUAUAAACUUUAAAUUUUAUUAUUGAUUUAUUCUAUAGGUAUAGAAAUAAUACUUCCAUGAUUGACAUUAAAAAUAUGUGAAAUUUCCAUCUUAAGAGUGUUGACAAGCUUAGCAAUAUUUGCAAUAGUUGCAAAUCUAUUUUCAUUUUGGUGAAGAAUGGCACUUAUAAUUAUUUCUUUUAUUAUCAAUUCAAUCAUGUUAUAGAAUUACUACUAUAAAAAAAAGUUACUGUAUUUUUAAUUUGAUAUUGUCAGCUGAAAUAUGUUCAAUAAUCCGAUUCUUUGGCACCUCCUGAAGUCCACAACAUGCCAACAAACCAUGAAUCCUUUACUCACAAGUUAUUUUAAAGGACAAUUUUACAAUUGCUCAAAUCAUAAACUUCGACAUUUCUCUACACUGUACUAGUAAAGACCCAUCAUCUCCAUGCAGGAAACAAUGCUCAAAACAUAAACAAACUUCUUCACAACAUGAGUAAGUGAGCUUCUCCUUAUGUACACUGCAAAGGUAUGACUGGAAAUAAGCACUGCACGCAAACAAUGAGCUUAAACAAACUGCGAUGGUGGUGGUGUUGCUGCUGGAGGCCUAGAGACAAAGACAAGUAUUAGCAUGAGGACAUUGCUAAAUGCACAGCUAGCCUUACUGGAUCACUCUUUAGCUACAGGAGCAACCGCAGCAGCAUCUUCUCCGCCAUCUACUUCGUCGUCUUCGUCUUAUGCUGUUCCCCCACCCAUGUUUGACCCAUACCGAAAUUUGCAACUGCCUGGCAUACCUGUGUCUUCCUCCCUCGCCCUUUCCACAUCACUGUUACAAGCUGCAGGCUCACUUGAAGCUUUGUCGUAUUUGCAACGAACAAAGACAGGAACCCACAGCCCCGCAAGCGUAACGCAGUCUGCACAUGUCCAAAGCCCUAAAAACUUUGAUGUAUCGAAAAGGAAUUGCAAUGACCACAACAGCAGACGGGCAAGGCAAUCACAUGGUACUAAAACCUCCGGAAUAGGAGAGGAUUUUGGAGAGGAAAUGCCUUCGGAAUCCAGAAAAUACCCUUCCCCGCAUGAACAUGAUGAUUUCAAUCGCAAGAAUGUUGAGGAUACAGCGUUGAACCUGGAGAAGAUCGAGCAUAGGGCGAAGGCGUCCAUCGAGAAAUUGAGGCAUAUUCUUCUUCGCGUCAAAACCAGAUCACCGAAGGAUUCAAGCUCUCCGACUGAGAGUCCUCGUGCGACGUGUGAAGAUGGUAUAUUCUAAUUUCCGUCAUAUGCCUACGAAAUUAAUUGAUUGAGUACAACCGUUCGAGACAGUUAUUGUGAUAAUUUGCAUGACCAUCUCCCGAUGAAUAGUUCGAUAAUAUGUAAGUAACCGCAAUUUCCAUUUCUAUUAUUCCUCUCUUUUUCAUAGGUCAAGAACAAACAAUUGAAACAUCAAAUGGAGGCAUUAUUCAAAACAACACAUGCUGUGGAACCCCGCCUCCUUCACUAGGAGUUGGCCAAAAUGGAAAUGAAACGAACUUGGAAAAAUCGACGCCGAAUGGACAAGAAAUCAGAGCCCCAGCUCUUCAAAAUCCUUACGAUACACAAUACGACGCAGUCACGUACACGAAAUCAACAGUGAAGUUCAACAAGGACACGAACACGGGAAUCGUGACGCUGGUGGCAACGGUGAAAGGGGAUGUGUUGGACCCGAGCGAGUACAUGAAGGAGAAGACCAUCAUCUUGGCGGCGCAGGCACUUUCCUGCGUGUGCGCAUCACUGGAGGCCAAGGCCAGUAGCCUUUCUUCACCUCAGAGUACUACGGAGACAGACGGCUGCUCAACCAGGAUGCGUCCGUGGCGCAUGCCAUCUUCAAGCCUUACAACGCCACGGACACCCACCGCUACUCCUCCGCCUCGCCCGACUGGGUCGCAUACCAAGUGUGUGCCUAACUCUCAGUGCCUCUCGUGUGCCUGACUGUCUGAUGCUUUGAGGCUCGUCUGUCUCCGUAGUACUCUGUCUUCUCUAGUGAGAAGGUUUUAGUCGUAUAGCCAUCAGUGCCCCUUGUUUUCAUUCUCCAAGUGUUUACACACAUACCUAGAAUUGAGUAAUAUGGAUGACUUUUUGUGCACUUUUUACAGUGUUUUUGUAGAUGAAGAGCUUGAUGGGUGUUAAUAUUAUUAUUAUGGGAUGUGUUAUUUUAUUUUGAAAAAAGGACUGGAGUUUUGUUGGAAGGUGAUUUGUUGUGAGGUUGAUGGUUUAGUGCGUGAUUUGUGGUGUAGUUAGGACUAUUUUUGGACACAGAUAUGGUUCCUCCCGCAGUGAUGCGCCAGAAUGUUCAAGUGGGAGGCAUUUUAUUUGUUUUGGGAACAGUGAUUCAUUUUGUGCCCAACGUCAAAACAUUAACUCGUGUAGGCCCUCAGGUUCUAGUUUACUCCCAAAGUAAAUAAAGCAUAUCUCUUUAAAAGUAUCAUUCUGGUCUCUUUUCAUUACAUGAAUAAAAAAUUUAAUUUUAAAAAUCUUGAACUCAAAUGUGAUGUAUUGCAUUGUAAAAGCCACAAACUACCACAUCAAUUGUCAAAAGUUGAUUCCAAGACUGGCUUUCAAGCUCAUAUCCAAUGUCUAGUAUAAAAUUCUAUGCUCAUAAUUGAGAAGAAGAUUUUCUUCCAUGUUAUAGCCGACUCAAAAAAAUCAUUUCUUUUGUGGGUGAAAAAUGUUUUUGUACUAUUUACAGUUUAUUUGUUUCCAGACUAUAUCAAAAAUAUAACUUUAAAAAUGUUUUUAUUUUUCUCUGAUAGGAAUGGGGUGCAGAAUCAUCAGUAUAUUUGGUAAGUAAUGUUCAUGUGUUGGAUGCUCUUGUGGGAUCCAUUCCACGAGAAAGAAGAUAUUUCAUGGAAGGCUUACAUUGGGUGUGGCAUGGAAAGCGGUGCCCAAUGCUAUUGGACCACCCUCAUGGUAGUGUAGGAAAUGAAAAACUUCAUCCCAUGUGGAACCCUAGGAGCUCUUCAAGGGGUGUUCAAGUACAACUCACAAUUCAUCUCUCAUCUUCUUACUCUUCUUUUUCCAACACAUAUAUAUAUAUAUAUAUAUAUAUGAUUUCAACGAACAAAAAGAAAAAGCAUCACAUAAUUACCUUUUAAGUGUAAUCUUGUGUAUGUGUUGCAUAAUUUGAUAGAAAACAUUCUCAAAAAAUGCUAGUAUAUGAAGAUAUAUUUUUAUGCUCAUAGUAUGUAUUUGUACAAUUUCAACUUUUUAUUUUUAUUUUUUGGGGAUUCUUUGAAAUAAUUUUGAGCAGUUCAAAAGAAUGGAUAAACUGUGAUUAUGUAUUGAUGUUUAGAUAAUGGGUGAACAAUGCAGAAAGUAUCGCUCAAGACAAUAGUGGCACUUCAAGGUUUAGAAAUGUCCAUCUUACAAGAAAAGCUUGGAUCCCAUCUCUCUGUGGAAGAGAUGGAGAAAAUAUUGCAUAGGCGAGAUCAGGUGGUAAAUUAUUUCCACACCAUUUCCAAAAAUAUACCAGCUCUUAUUGUUUGAUCAUCUAUACAUUAUCUUAAUUUUUUGGAUUUUCAUUUUCAUUUUUAUUUCAAUAAUAUAGUCCUCAUAAAUUGCAAGAUGAGGUUUGGAUUAACUUGAUAGCACAAAUGGUGCCUUCAAUCCUUUGAAUUUUCAUUCUUCAUAUAUAAAUUUGUCCAUACAUGUCUCAUUUGAGGAUCAAAUUCAUAUCUUAAAUAAAUUUCAAACAAAAAAUUUACAUUCCAUAUGUUUUGGAAUUAAAUGUAUGUAUUAUAAUAAAAUUCUAAAACCUUUCAAACAC